rnacentral:misc_RNA from 1 species
GUUGGGUCAGCUGCAUCCUUUGGAAACUUAACUUGUUGUCUGAAUAAAAGAUACCUUCCAUGUGUUCUUUUACCUCCAACAUGAACAGUCACAUCACAUUGCAAACAAAGAGAACUUCCAUCUACCUCACAGUAGAAGAAAGCGGGUGCAUUUUCACAUAUAUCACAACGGGGAACAUCACUGGGGUUUGCCAGACCAACUCUCACAUGUCGGCUAGCAAGCUUAUUACACAUGUGGACCUUCUCGUCGCAAGCAUGGCAAAGAGCAGCCUCAUCGGCGGCGCAGAAGACUAUAGCGGCAGCACUCUCACAAGCGUCACAAAGGGUUCGCAUAAUUAAUAUUAAUCUCUCCGACUGAAGAUCUCAUUUCUCCAAUAAUCCAAAAACAAGAAAAAGAAGAAGAUUCAUGUCGAGCAUGAAAGGAGGUAGCAAGAAGAGCGAAACCUGUAAAGGAUAAAAAAAUGCACGCACCAGAACAAGACACAGGUCACCAAAUAUACACAGAAAUGAUUAGAUUUGUGAUGGGUAUGUGUUCUCAUAGAUUAACGUUUCAAUUCUUUGUUGUGGUCGUUGUUGAUGGUGGGUAGAGGAAGCUGACGAUAGAUAGAGACUGCUGAU